GAAAUGUGUGUGUCGGUUCUGUACUGUGACAGAACACAAGAAUCACAAAGUUAUUCCAUUAGAGGAGGAGAGUGGACAGAGGAAGAGUCAGCUGGGGAAAACACAGACGGAGCUGCAGCAGAUGAUCCAGGAGCGACUGAAGAAGAUCCAGGAGAUUAAUCACUCAGUAGAGCUCAGCAAA